UGCUCCUAGCUCCAUGUCACAACAAUCUUCAUCACCUUCUCUCAUGGGAGGACAAGGAUCACCACAAAUGCAAAGUGCAGCAUAUGCUCCUAACUCCAUGUCGCAACAAUCUUCAUCACCUUCUUUCAUGGGAGGACAAGGAUCAUCACAAAUGCAAGGCCAGCAGUCAGUGCCUAAUCCUAGCUGGCAACAAGCUUCACCACCUUCUUUCAUGGGAGGACAAGGAUCAUCACAAAUACAAGGCCAGCAGUCAGUGCCUAAUCCUAGCUGGCAACAAGCUUCACCACCUUUCAUGGGAGGACAAGGAUCAUCACAAAUGCAUGGCCAGCAGUCAGUGCCUAAUCCAAGGUGGCAACAAACUUCACCACCCUCUUUUAUUGCUGG
rnacentral:lncRNA from 1 species